UUAGAUUAUUGGACUACAUAGACACAUAAAAAUCGCAGCCCAACAUAAACAACUUAACCAGCAGAAGUGGCGGUGUCUUGAUGUUAUAAAUUGGUCUGUUAGAGAGAAGAUACACAGUCCUAUGCAAACCGACGGGUCAUCAUGUGGUCUGUGGAUGAUAAACUUUAUGGAGUACUGGACUGGAUCGCGUCUAUCUGAUCCUUUAACUCAGGAAGAUAUCACAAAUUUCAGACCUAAGUUAGCAGCGAUAUUGUGGGACUCUAGAUUCAACACGAGGAAAGGAUUUGAAGAUUCUGAAGAAACAGAAGAAGCCAUGGGUACUCCGAGUGAUGUUGAAGUUAUUGAUCCAAGUGACGUUGAACUAAUUCAAAGUCU